AGGCGAGGACGCCGGGAGCGGCGCGGCGCGGCACGGCACCCACUGAGGGCUCCUCCGGUGAGCGGCGGCGAUGGACGAGAGCGGCGGAGAUUCCGGGACGGCAAGCGGCGGUGAUCCUGGAACGGGAAGAGGCGCCGGAUUCGAGUGGGACGCGGAUUCCCAGCUCUACUACCACGCCAGUACUGGAUUUUACCAUGACCCUGUCGCUGGCUGGUACUACAGCAGCACAGAUGGUCAGUACUACAUCUAUGAGAAUGGAGAUUAUGUGUUAUGGACUUCAGAUGCGAGCAAGGAACUCAAUGUACAUUCUCCAUCUGAUGAAGCAAGCCAAAGUUUCCAGGAAUGCUCUUCAGGACCGGAACCGGAUAUUCCUCAGCCGCCAUCAGAAUGGUUGGAGGAAACACUAAUCAACAUGUAUUUAUCAGGAUACUCAAAUACAGAUGACAAAAAUGAAAAAUUAUUAGGAGAAUCACAGACAAUCGAGGAAAACAGAAGUGAGGCAGUUGAGAACAAACUCAGUAACUUGGCUUCAGAUAAUGUGUCAGACUCUCUGAAUGAUGCUUCAUUAGAGCAAAUAGAAGAUAAAAUGCAAACUGAGAACCUCACAGCUGUUGAUGAAUCAUUAGGGGAAGAGGAAGAGAAAUGGCUUUCUCAGUAUGGUCAAACAGAGAGAGUAAAUGAUGGUCUGCCAUUGUCUCCGAGUGUCGAUCUGUGGGACUGGGAUAUGAUCACUGAAUCUGUUAGCAAAGGCCAGCCCAUGUCUAGGCUUGUGGGACGUUUAACUAGGGGUUCUAGUACACUUCAUCCUUCUCUGCCUGCUCGUGGUCGCCUUCUAAGAACCGCUCCUGUGCGUGAAGUUCAUCUUGAUCUUGUACGUGUUUCAACAGGGAAGUUGUACAGGCUAAGGAACCCAAGCAGAAAAUACUGGGCCUCUUUAUCAGCAUAUGACUCUUCCAACCCAACAAAAGAUUGGGGUUUUCCUGAUAUAUAUGCCAACCCUAAUAGCAAUUCAGAUAAGCAGUCAACUGCAUGUUGCCAGUCUGAAGUUGCGCAUGAAUCUUCUACCGAGCAGCAGAAGAUAAACACUUAUAGGGAUAGAGCUGCUGAGAGAAGAAUCCUACACCGUGGCUUAGGGAUAGGACCUGGUCAGAAGCAAAGUAAUGGCAUAAAUUCUGAUGAAUAUGAGGAGGCAAAUGAGGACAUGGACUCAUUGGGAGCUGCACCAGUUGAUAUGAACUUCCGUUCCAGUGGUUUGAAGUCUGCAAAGAGAAUCAUGGAGAACAUGGGCUGGAAGGAAGGAGAGGCCCUUGGUAAAAGCAGUCAGGGUAUUGUAGAACCUAUACAGCCAAACGUCAACAAACAUGGUGCUGGUUUGGGAUGGAACCACAUGCGCUAAGAUGAUCUCCACCCCCCUGCACUUGGUGAUUUCAGUGCAUGUUCUGUGGCCUCCGGAGGUGUAACUUCUAUGCAGGAUGCAUGUAACAGACCAUGGUGGCAAUUCUGACCAUUGUGACUUGUGAGAGGACAUCGUUUUAGUACUGCAGAUACAAAGGGAGCAGGGGAAACCUGGAAAAUCGAUGUGACACGUUUGCCUGAAAAAUGCAGAAGUUUAGCAGCGGUUACUUAAUCUGCGUACGAAGGACCCACAAAACUUACCCCUUUUAUGGCUCUAAUCUGUUUUAUAACCUAUAAAUUGACUUAUCUAUUUCAAUUUGUAAAUAUAACGAAAAAAAGUGAUGUGAUGAUCAAAACUUAUUUCCAUUUGUUCAUAUGGUGUUAGUUGA